UAGAAUCCCUGAGCCAAUGGGAAGGGCUGCCAGCUGAGAAGGCUUUUUGGUGCGCAGAUCAAGAGGAGUGCAGGGUUAGAAUGGAGCAGGCUCUGCUUACGCGGAGUUUCUCCGGGCCGAGGUAAGGACCCCGGCCAGCUUGCUUUGAAGGCAGAUCGGUCUGCAGAUAACAAAAAUAAUCUGAAUCGCUCUGUGGUUGCUCCUGAAAGCAGAGCCCCGACACAAGAGUUCCAGACACUUUUCCCCGAAAGCUGGAACCAUGAUUGCGGGUUGCUACUGUAGCUGUGCCGGAGGGGAGAAGUUUUAAAUACAAUAAUGCAUAUAGGAAAAAACAAGCUGCAGGAACAGGAAUAUUGAACCUCAAAGUUAAAAUGAGGCAAGAGUUCUCACCAAUGGACCAUCUUCCUACAAAGUCAUCAGAACCACAGCAAAUCAAAGGUGAAUUGCAUUUUUCAGCAGCUUCAAAUAAAUUGGCCCAGAAUUGGAAAUAAAUGGAACAAGGGUAGCGAAAGCUGCUGGAAUUCUUUUCAAUACCUUAAAAAUAAUUCCACUCUAAACCAUGUGACCGGUGAGGAAAAGAAAAGGGAACUUAAAAUAAGAGAAGCCAUUAACUUUUUCUAACUUUGCCCAAUUGCUUCCCUCAUUUUGAUGCAUGGGAGUGGCUGGAAUUUUUCUCCAAUUUUUAGCAGUGCCACUGGUCAUGUGGCAGGGUCUCAAGAACAGAAUAGUUGAUUGCUCCCAAUUGCCUUUCCCAUAGAAAUAUUUUAGGGAUUUUUUCCCCUGGAUUUUUUUUCUGCAGCCCAUUAUCAAACUUGAUUUGGACUUUUUUUUUCUUUUUGCAAGCUUCUCUCCACACACCAAAUUUGGUCCUUAUUUCCAUUUGAGAACCAACUGAAAAAAAUGCUUAUGUUUGAUUGCUUGCUUUAUAUUUUGCCUUUCCUUCAAGCUGCAUAUAGUACUUUCCUCCCAACAACUCUGAGAUAGGUUGGAUUGAAAGUUAGCCCAGCAGAUUUCAUACAGAAGAUUGGGUUUGAACCUAUUUUCUCCACGCUUCUUCCAGCUCCUUAACCACUAAGUUAUGCUGGUUCUCAAGGUGUGAUUGGUUGACAGGGAUUUGGAUGAGUCUAAGAAGUAAUAGGAGCAAGACAAGGAAGAACUAAAAGCCAAUUUGCCAGGCAAUGCAAAGAACUGAGGAGAUACAUCUUCUCUGCCAUAUGGCUAUGGCAAGAUCUUAUAAUCUUCCAUCAGGAAUGAUAUGGAUUCAUAACUCAAUUUAUUAAGAACUACUGUGAGCUGGCCUGAAGCCUACCACAGUCAUGCUCAACUGUUCCAUAUUCUUUCUGGAGAGUCAGAAUCCUUCCUCUGAGCAAACAUGUAACACUGGCAGU